GACGAACGCUGGCGGCGUGCUUAACACAUGCAAGUCGAACGGAAAGGCCCUGCUUUUGUGGGGUGCUCGAGUGGCGAACGGGUGAGUAACACGUGAGUAACCUGCCCUUGACUUUGGGAUAACUUCAGGAAACUGGGGCUCAUACCGGAUAGGAGCUCUUGCUGCAUGGUGGGGGAUGGAAAGUUUCGGCGGUUGGGGAUGGACUCGCGGCUUAUCAGCUUGUUUGUGAGGUAGUGGCUUACCAAGGCUUUGAAGGGUAGCCGGCCUGGGAGGGUGGCCGGCGACAAUGGGACUGCGAUACGGCCCAGACUGCUACGGGAGGCAGCAGUGGGGAAUAUUGCACAAUGGGCGGGAGCCAGAUGCAGCAACGCCGCGUGCGUGAUGACGGCCUUCGGGUUGUAAACCGCUUUGGCCUGAGACGAGGCGGGAGUGACGGUAAUGGGUAAGAAAGCACCGGCUAACUACGUG
rnacentral:rRNA from 1 species